rnacentral:rRNA from 1 species
UUCCGUAGGUGAACCUGCGGAAGGAUCAUUACCGAGUGCGGGCCCUCGUGGCCCAACCUCCCACCCUUGUCUCUAUACACCUGUUGCUUUGGCGGGCCCACCGGGGCCACCUGGUCGCCGGGGGACAUCUGUCCCCGGGCCCGCGCCCGCCGAAGCGCUCUGUGAACCCUGAUGAAGAUGGGCUGUCUGAGUACUAUGAAAAUUGUCAAAACUUUCAACAAUGGAUCUCUUGGUUCCGGCAUCGAUGAAGAACGCAGCGAAAUGCGAUAAGUAAUGUGAAUUGCAGAAUUCCGUGAAUCAUCGAAUCUUUGAACGCACAUUGCGCCCCCUGGCAUUCCGGGGGGCAUGCCUGUCCGAGCGUCAUUUCUGCCCUCAAGCACGGCUUGUGUGUUGGGUGCGGUCCCCCCGGGGACCUGCCCGAAAGGCAGCGGCGACGUCCGUCUGGUCCUCGAGCGUAUGGGGCUUUGUCACUCGCUCGGGAAGGACUGGCGGGGGUUGGUCACCACCAAAAUUUUACCACGGUUGACCUCGGAUCAGGUAGGAGUUACCCGCUGAACUUAAGCAUAUCAAUAAGCGGAGG